rnacentral:tRNA from 1 species
ACCUUGCUGGCUCAGUAGGUAGAGCAUGUGACUCUUGAUCUCAGAGUCAUGAGUUCGAACCCCAUGCUGGGGA